rnacentral:rRNA from 1 species
CCUACGGGGGGCAGCAGUGAGGAAUAUUGGUCAAUGGACGAGAGUCUGAACCAGCCAAGUAGCGUGAAGGAUGACUGCCCUAUGGGUUGUAAACUUCUUUUAUAUGGGAAUAAAAUGUUCCACGUGUGGGAUUUUGUAUGUACCAUAUGAAUAAGGAUCGGCUAACUCCGUGCCAGCAGCCGCGGUAAUACGGAGGAUCCGAGCGUUAUCCGGAUUUAUUGGGUUUAAAGGGAGCGUAGGUGGAUUGUUAAGUCAGUUGUGAAAGUUUGCGGCUCAACCGGAAAAUUGCAGUUGAUACUGGCAGUCUUGAGUACAGUAGGGGUGGGCGGAAUUCGUGGUGUAGCGGUGAAAUGCUUAGAUAUCACGAAGAACUCCGAUUGCGAAGGCAGUUCACUGGACUGCAACUGACACUGAGGCUCGAAAGUGUGGGUAUCAAACAGGAUUAGAUACCCGGGUAGUC